ensembl:lncRNA
GUCACAAUGAACCUCUCCUCCAUAGGCACAAAGGGUCAGCAAGAGGUUGCAGUAGCCAGUCUCUUUCCUUCAGGCUAGCAGCACCAAGAAGACAUCACCAUGAUGUGUCUCUACUCCAGAGACGGGCAACAUCAGGAAAUCAACAUGUCUCUCCAUGGAGACAGGCAACAUCAACAAGAAGUCACAAUGGACAGUCUCUUCUUUUCAGACAGAUUCUUUGGUUGGUUGAAAAGUCUAGCAUUCAUAGUAGGAGGGGAUCCCUAUUUUCAGGAUGAGUUUCUUGCUGUAUUGUUGUCUCUUCAGCCCACCUCUCGCCUCUCAUCUGUGAUACUCAGUGCUCACCAUUUGACAUGA